rnacentral:rRNA from 1 species
UACGUAGGGUGCAAGCGUUAAUCGGAAUUACUGGGCGUAAGGCGUGCGCAGGCGGUUCUAUAAGACAGAUGUGAAAUCCCCGGGCUCAACCUGGGAACUGCAUUUGUGACUGUAGAGCUGGAGUGCGGCAGAGGGGGAUGGAAUUCCGCGUGUAGCAGUGAAAUGCGUAGAUAUGCGGAGGAACACCGAUGGCGAAGGCAAUCCCCUGGGCCUGCACUGACGCUCAUGCACGAAAGCGUGGGGAGCAAACAGG